CCCUUAGAUGAUUUGGGCUGCACGCGCGCUACACUGACCCUAACAAUGAGCAACUGUCUGGCCUGAGAUGGGUGGGUAGCCUUUUCAACCCAUGUCAUGAUUGGGCUAGAUUUUUGUAAGUCUUGAUCUCUAACGAGGAAUCCCUAGUAUGCGUGAAUCAUCAAUCCAUGCAGAUUAUGUCCCUGCCCUUUGUACACACCGCCCGUCGCUCCUACUGAUUGGGUGAUCCGGUGAGCUGUUCGGCCAUAGCAAUGUUUCUUGAGCAGGGCAAUGAAUGUUUCGCAAACCUUGCCACUUAGAGGAAGGAGAAGUCGUAACA
rnacentral:rRNA from 1 species